rnacentral:pre_miRNA from 1 species
AAUAUUUGACGGCGUUGACUUUUUUAAAUAUGUUUGACCGUUCGUCUUAUUCAAAUUUUUUAAGUAAUUAUUAAUUAUUUUCCUAUCAUUUGAUUUAUUAUUAAAUAUAUUUUAUGUAGGCAUAUAAUUUUUCAUAUUUCACAAAAGUUUUUAAAUAAGACGAACGGUCAAACAUGUGCUAAAAAGUUAACGGUGUCAAAUAUU